AUAAACAAUUUAAGACUUUACUAUAAAUUUAUUUUAUAUGUACAUUUUCUGUUGCAUGAUAAAUUUCUAACUUUUGUAUAUAUAUUUAAAAUAUGUUCUAAAUUUUUAUUAAUAUUACAAUGUUAUCCAUUUAUAUUCUUCUUAAUUAAUUUUAGAAAUAAUGAUCUAAAGAAUGCCUUCAGCUUCUCAACAUCAUCCUUUAUAUAAUUAUAUUAAGAUUGUGUAUACAUUAACAAAUUAUUAUUUGCAAUAAUUUUUAGUAUUAUCUUUUUAAAAUCUAUAUCUAAAAUUUAUAAAUAUUUCAAAGCAUGGCAGAUUUUUACUUGGCACAUGAGAAAUUUGUUCAUGUAUACAUACUUCACAGACUUAAAUCGAUUAAAUCUUUUGUUUAUUGAAAUUGUCCUACGUUAAUAUAUUUUUAUUUAAUAUAGAUAAUACAUAUAAACUAUGGAUCUUUGAAGAGGAUUAUCUUGGUUUUUUUAUAAUAUAGGCAUAUAAAAAUAAUUUAAUGCCUUUUGUUUCAUAAAUAACAUUUUUGAAGAUGGAUGUACAAUAUCAUGUGAUAAAUCAUUAUCGAAGGCACCAUGUCUGAAUCAGUCAUGCUUUACACAAAUAAAAGAAACCCAUUAUAUGUCAACUUACACAAAUAUUUAAAAUAAUCUACUCUUACUUUCAAAGUAAUUCCUACAUGUUGACAAUGGUCAGGAAGACUAGCGUAUUAAUAAUCAUCAUAGGAAUUCUGUAAUAUCAGUAUUAAUAGUUCGUGUAAACAAAUUAUUUUAACUUGACAUAUUAAUGAUGAAUUAAUAUAAAAAAUUUGUGUUCAAUA